UACGGGGGGGGCAAGCGUUGUUCGGAAUUACUGGGCGUAAAGGGCUCGUAGGCGGCCAACUAAGUCGAACGUGAAAUCCCCGGGCUCAACCCGGGAACUGCGUCCGAUACUGGCAGGCUUGAAUUCGGGAGAGGGAUGUGGAAUUCCAGGUGUAGCGGUGAAAUGCGUAGAUAUCUGGAGGAACACCGGUGGCGAAGGCGGCAUCCUGGACCGAUAUUGACGCUGAUGCGCGAAAGCCAGGGGAGCAAACGGG
rnacentral:rRNA from 1 species